UUGGCUACUGAAGCUGUUUGGGGUGAUGGUAAACCCUUGCCUCCCACAGGAUAUAAGGUGCCCAGAUAAGUCAUCAGGUGGAACAAAGAACACGGGCAAUCUCUGGAUGAGCUAAGGGCCCUGUUGCACACAGCACCGACCUCCUGCUGUGCUGUAAGAAGCAGUGAAACCAACAGUGCGGCCAUGAACAGCCCUAGAAGCAGCUCAAGUAGUGUGGACACAGGUUGUGCUUCCGGAGACAUUGCUUCCCUUGCAGCUGCACAUUUUCCUCUACUUCUCUGCCACUGGUUUCUGCACAGGAGAGACAAAUGGCUGAUGUGCCAGACUAUUAUAAGAUUUUAGAAAUUCCACGGGAUGCUUCUGACAGUGACAUUAAAAAGGCGUACAGGAAGAAAGCCCUGCAGUGGCACCCAGAUAAAAACCCAGACAAGAAGAAAUAUGCUGAGCAGAAGUUCAAAGAAGUUACAGAAGCUUAUGAAGUGCUAUCGGACAAGGCCAGGCGAGAACGUUACGAUUCCUAUGGAGAUGGACUCACGGCAGCAG